rnacentral:rRNA from 1 species
AUUGAACGCUGGCGGCAGGCCUAACACAUGCAAGUCGAACGGUAACAGGAAGAAGCUUGCUUCUUUGCUGACGAGUGGCGGACGGGUGAGUAAUGUCUGGGAAACUGCCUGAUGGAGGGGGAUAACUACUGGAAACGGUAGCUAAUACCGCAUAAUGUCGCAAGACCAAAGAGGGGGACCUUCGGGCCUCUUGCCAUCGGAUGUGCCCAGAUGGGAUUAGCUAGUAGGUGGGGUAACGGCUCACCUAGGCGACGAUCCCUAGCUGGUCUGAGAGGAUGACCAGCCACACUGGAACUGAGACACGGUCCAGACUCCUACGGGAGGCAGCAGUGGGGAAUAUUGCACAAUGGGCGCAAGCCUGAUGCAGCUAUGCCGCGUGUACGAAGAAGGCCUUCGGGUUGUAAAGUACUUUCAGCGGGGAGGAAGGGAGUAAAGUUAAUACCUUUGCUCAUUGACGUUACCCGCAGAAGAAGCACCGGCUAACUCCGUG